AUGGUAGGAGCAGACUUCCUCCGCCGCCGCACCCUUCCGGACAAAGGAAGGCCAGCUUGGGAUUACAAGAAUGCAGUGGAUAUCAUGCGGGAGAAAGCCAUCAGGGAGGAGACGGACCUUAUCCGCAGUACCACCAAGGAAGAGCUGGCGUACAUUGCCAACAGGGCGGCGGAAGCAAGGAUGGCCGGGGGCGCCGGCGGGUCUGGAUCCGCGGCAACCAAUGUUGGUGAAGCGGUUGAGGACGAACUAGUAGAUGAGGCGUUGGAAGGGCCUAUCGGAGGACAAGAAGCGCUUGCCGGGGAACAGGGCGACGAAACCGCUGAGGAGCAGGUGCACAAGGAGCCCCCUGUUCCUCCUGUUCCGGCAAAGAAAACCCGCACCCUCCGGAAAGCCGCCUCCGGAGUUCACCCUCCUUCGGGCGAUGAAGUGGCCGCCAAGGGAGCGGCCGCCAAAGCCAUCGGGCGGCAAGGAUCUGGACGCCAAGCUCCUCAACAACAGUAA
rnacentral:rRNA from 1 species